GCUAUUAGCUCAGUCGGUUAGAGCGUGGUGCUAAUAGAUUUGUAACGCCAAGGUCACAGGUUCGACCCCUGUAUCGAGCA